rnacentral:rRNA from 1 species
CCUACGGGAGGCAGCAGUGGGGAAUAUUGGACAAUGGGGGGAACCCUGAUCCAGCCAUGCCGCGUGUGUGAAGAAGGCCCUCGGGUUGUAAAGCACUUUCAGUGAGGAAGAACGCCUGGUGGUUAAUACCCAUCAGGAAAGACAUCACUCACAGAAGAAGCACCGGCUAACUCCGUGCCAGCAGCCGCGGUAAUACGGAGGGUGCGAGCGUUAAUCGGAAUUACUGGGCGUAAAGCGCGCGUAGGUGGCUUGAUAAGCCGGUUGUGAAAGCCCCGGGCUCAACCUGGGAACGGCAUCCGGAACUGUCAAGCUAGAGUGCAGGAGAGGAAGGUAGAAUUCCCGGUGUAGCGGUGAAAUGCGUAGAGAUCGGGAGGAAUACCAGUGGCGAAGGCGGCCUUCUGGACUGACACUGACACUGAGGUGCGAAAGCAUGGGUAGCAAACAGGAUUAGAUACCCCUGUAGUC